UGUAAGAUAAGUUGUGUGAAUGUGUCCAAUAUGUUUACCAUGCUUGAGACUCUGUCUGAACCUGUUUAGCGUUUGUUCAUUGGCUGAAUUAUUAGUGCGUAAGUAGCAAGCUAAGGAACUACUGUAAUUUACUAAUUUGAAUAUUUGCAGAUUGCUACUUCUUUGUCCUCUGAUCAAUUUUUGAAUGUCCAGUGUCCACUGAUGGAGGCUGGCUGGAUAUAGAUGCCAUUGCUUUUUAUUUUAACAUAGUUAAAUGAUCAGUAAUCACUAAUGGAGGCUGGAUGACUGAAUGUUUAAAUAUUAUUUUGAUAUUAUUGUACUUCAAUCUCUUGAAUCUGUGAAUUGUAAUUAUGUUUAGUAUUCUAAUAUUUUGCCAGUAAAUUUGCAAGUGAUUGUCAAUUGUGCCUGUGUAUAGAUUUUGGAAUAUAUUAUAUUGACUUUGGCAGGUAGGGAGGAAAGCCUAAAUCCUACUGCAUAUAUCAAAUAUUUGCAAAAAUUAUAUAUUUUUUUAAACGAGUUCGG
rnacentral:lncRNA from 1 species